UCUGGGGGAGAAACGCACACACACACACACACACACACACACACACACACACACACACACACACACACACACACACACACACACACACACACACACACACACACACACACACACACACACACACACACAGCGCGGUUCAGACCCACGCAGCACAGCGGCGGACACGCUUCACUGGGGCAGAACUGAGACGGAGAACACAGCAGGAGCACGAGGGGACUGAGGCUAUUCUGUCUCCCUGAGGGGGCCGCAUCGGUUAGUAGGGGCAUGGGAACUAUGGCGGCGGCCAUCUUAAAAACAAACGUUAUGGGUUUGAGCUCUCUGAUGCCCUCAAUAUAAAUCUGGGUUUCAGAUUAAUACAACUCUCAAAUGUAUUAUGUGUCCGAUUAUUUUGUGAGUGAUGCCCUCAUAUAAACAGAUCUUAUUUCUUGGGUCAGAGAUGAUCUUCCAUUUUGCAUGAAAUAUAAAUAAUAUACUCAAAGUUGGACUGAUAAGACGAAUCAAGAUGGUUGACUGCAAGGCUGUAGUGGACUUUCUGAACGUGGAUGUCACACACACACACACACACACACACACACACACACACACACACACACACACACACACACACACACACACACACACACA